rnacentral:lncRNA from 1 species
AGAGCAUUGUAGAAAAUUCCUAAGUUCUCUUAGAAAGUGACUAAGUCACCACAAAGAAACUGUUAACAGAAACCUAGACUUCAAGGAGGCUGCUGGUGAGUGCUCAAACUGGACUUGGAGAACGCUGCCUGUGAGGGCUCAGAAGAAAGUGAGGGAAUGAUAUGGGAAACUGGAGGAAGAAGAUCCACGUUAUAUAUUUGCAGACAGCUUAGUGAAAUCAUGUUCUGCAAUUAUGUAGAAAGCAGAACUCGUAAAAAACAAACUUGGUCAUUUAGGUGAGGAGAUUUGCAAGUCAAGUGUUGAAGGUGAAACCUGGCUUCAUCUUGCUUCUUAGAGUAAAAUAUGGGAAGGGAGAGACAAAUUGAGGGAAGAACUUUUCAGCAAAGAGGAACCAGGACGCAUGAUUUAGGAAAUUGGCAGCCUAUCCAGAUAGCAAUAGCCACAACAAAGGAGAAAUUCACUGUCAAGAACAUGUAUUCUGGAGAAAAGCCAAGAGUGAAGCUAUAAAAUCUUUUGCUGGUGCCUCAGAAAGAUCAAAAAUCUUGACUGUAUUUAUCAAAAUGUGAUUAUUAAUUUAGUAACAAAACUUUUUUGUAAAAGAGUGAGAAUGUGUGAAGUUAGUAAUUUCAACAAAUUAAGGAGGGAUAAGUGCAAAAGUUAACAUUAUUGUGUCCAUAACAUUGAAAUAAGUGAAGCCCACAGUGCAACUUUUGCCAAAUAGAACAGAGUCCGUUCAAGACCAAGACCUGUCUCUUUCUCUCAGCUGCCCGGGUAUUGGCUCCUUCCUUGUGCUCAUAGCACUAAAAUGUGAAAGACUAUGUGCAAAUGAGAGGAUCUGAAAUGGAAGUAGAGCCAACCAGAACCGGGAAAUUUCAUCAUGGGGGAAGGAAUUUUAGAAGGGGCUGUGAUGCAAACAAAGAGAUGAUUUAAGAUGUAUGUGAAAUGAUUACAUGGGCCUGCAGGCUCAAGUGAGCCCAUGGGUACUGCUGAUCUCUUGCCUUUUCUAUGAUUUGAAUCAGAUGGAAGCUUACGUUACUGAUUUCAGACCUUUCUUCUCUUAGGAUGACACCUCCACAACAUGGUUGGUGAAUGGAGUAGGUCCACACCCGGGAUCCAAACCUGUGAACCCAGGCCACUGAAGCGGAGUGUAGGGAACUUUAUACUUGACCAUGGGGCUGGGCCCUAAUGUUGGAUUUGCAUCUGCCACUUUGCUUUUUAAUUUUUAUGUCUCAUAUAUUUUUAUUUCCUCUGUUGCUUCUUUACUGUAUUUUUUUGCAGCAAAUACAUACUUUCUAUUUCAUCAUUUUUAUUCCGUUAUUACCAUUGUUGUUUUCACCAUAUUUUGGGUGUUAUUUUCUUAGCGUUUUUUCUGGAGAUUACAAUAUGUAUCUUAAUUUAUCACAACCAACUUCAGAUCAAUAUUAACAAUUCCAGUAAAACAUAGAUUUUUUUCCAACAAAGCUCCUCUUUUCCCUUCUCCUUUGUGAUAUUAUUACCAUUUCUAUUACAUACACACACGUUAAGGUUCAAC